AGAGCUUUGCAUACAGAAGACACUCAAAGUAAGGAAGGAAGGGUAGGAGAGUGGGAAGAAGGAAGAGGGAGCUGAGAGUUGCUCUCAAAGGCAUGGGGGCAGGUCUCUGGUGUGACCACCCCCCAUGAGCCAAGUUACAAAAGCACCCUAGCUUGAGGAGCCCCACAGUGGACCCUCAGCUCACCAGCCUCUGUCUUAGGCUUACUCACAAACAUGAAGCUGGAGCUAAGAAACAGGCAUGUGACUGCUUGCCCACCCUUGUUUGUCCUCCUCUAGGGCCUAGUGUCACCGGUGCCUUGCUGGGUAGCAGCUGCUCCAGUUCCCUGAUGGAGAUGGGGCUGUUUGUCACUCUGGGGUGACUAAGGGGCCAGUAACACUCCACCAAGAUGGCAGCACAGCCAGACAGGAGGGCUUUUGUCUCAUCUUGAUCCUCCUGGGAGGCCUGGCCAUGGCCCGAGUUUGCUCAGUGUUAAUUAUUGACCAGGUACCCAGGGACAGGGCCCC
rnacentral:lncRNA from 1 species